UGAUUAGUUAUUUUAAUAAAAAUAAUUUUAAUAAUUUAUAUUUUUAGUAUAUUUUAUAGAAAAAAUUUGAUUAAUUAUAGUUUAUUAGUAUUGUAAAAGAUAAUUGAAAUAAUAUUUUAUUUUAUUAAAGUAAAAUUAAUUUUUUGUACCUUGUGUAUCAGGGUUUAUUAAAUAAAUUUUAAUUAUAUUAAUUUUCUCGAAUUUAAGAGAGUUAAUAAGUUAUUUUUUUUAUUGUAAAAUAAAUAUUUAAAAUAAUUUAUUAGUAAUGAAAUGUUAUUCGUUCUUAAAAAUAUCUAGUUUAUUUAGAAAUGAAUUUAAUUCAGAUAUUUUAAUUUUAAUAGUUUAAUUUUUUAAAUUAUUAAAUUUUAAUAUUAAUAAUUAAAGGGUUUAGCUUUUAAUUAAAAAUUUAAAAAUUAUUUUUAAUAUUUAAAAAAUGUAGGUUUAGAAAUAGCUAUCAAUAAUAAUUUGUUAUAAUUAAUUUAAUUUAAAUUAUUAUUUUAUAUAAUUUUAAGUUUUUUAUAAAUAAUUAAUUUUUAAUUUUAAAAAUUUAGUUAUAAUGAUAGAAUUAGUAUAUAUUUUAAAUAUUUAUAUAAUAGAUUAUUAUAGAUUAUUUAAAGGAAUUCGGCAAAAAUUUUGCUCGCCUGUUUAACAAAAACAUGUCCUUUAGAAUUUAAUUUAAGGUCUAACCUGCCCACUGAAUUUUUUUGAAUGGCCGCAGUAAUUUGACUGUGCAAAGGUAGCAUAAUCAUUAGUUUUUUAAUUGAAAGCUUGUAUGAAGGGUUGGACGAGGUAAAAUCUGUCUCUAAUAAAUUUAAUUUAGAAUUUAACUUUUAAGUCAAAAGGCUUAAAUAAUAUUAAAAGACGAGAAGACCCUAUAGAUCUUUAUAUUUAAAAUAUUAAAUUUAAUUAAGAAUUUUUAAAAUUUUAUUAUUUUAAUUAUUUUAUUGGGGUAAUAUAAAGAUUAAAAUAAUUCNUUUUUUUUAUUUACAUAAAUUUAUGAAUUUGUGAUCCAAUUAUAUUGAUUAUAAGAUUAAGUUACCUUAGGGAUAACAGCGUAAUUUUUUUAAAGAGUUCUUAUCGAUAAAAAAGUUUGCGACCUCGAUGUUGGAUUAAAGAUUAUUUCAGGUGCAGAAGUUUGAAAAUUUUGGUCUGUUCGACCAUUAAAUCUUUACAUGAUCUGAGUUCAGACCGGUGUAAGCCAGGUCGGUUUCUAUCUUUAAUAAAUUAUAAUAUUUUAGUACGAAAGGACCAAUUAUUUAAUACAAAGUAUUUUAGUUUUGAUUAUU
rnacentral:rRNA from 1 species